rnacentral:rRNA from 1 species
AUUGAACGCUGGCGGCAGGCCUAACACAUGCAAGUCGAGCGGAUGAAGGGAGCUUGCUCCUGGAUUCAGCGGCGGACGGGUGAGUAAUGCCUAGGAAUCUGCCUGGUAGUGGGGGAUAACGUCCGGAAACGGGCGCUAAUACCGCAUACGUCCUGAGGGAGAAAGUGGGGGAUCUUCGGACCUCACGCUAUCAGAUGAGCCUAGGUCGGAUUAGCUAGUUGGUGGGGUAAAGGCCUACCAAGGCGACGAUCCGUAACUGGUCUGAGAGGAUGAUCAGUCACACUGGAGCUGAGACGCGGUCCAGACUCCUACGGGAGGCAGCAGUGGGGAAUAUUGGACAAUGGGCGGAAGCCUGAUCCAGCCAUGCCGCGUGUGUGAAGAAGGUCUUCGGCUUGUAAAGCACUUUAAGUUGGGAGGAAGGGCAGUAAGUUAAUACCUUGCUGUUUGGACGUUACCAACAGAAUAGGCACCGGCUAACUUCGU